AAACUUUCAACAACGGAUCUCUUGGCUCCGGCAUCGAUGAAGAACGCAGCGAAAUGCGAUAAGUAAUGUGAAUUGCAGAAUUCAGUGAAUCAUCGAAUCUUUGAACGCACAUUGCGCCCCUUGGUAUUCCGAGGGGCAUACCUGUCCGAGCGUCGUUU
rnacentral:rRNA from 1 species